UUCAAUCUGACGUUCGGGGCUUCCACAGGCCCUGGCUAUUGGGACCAACACUACCUCAGCUGGUCGAUGCUCCUGGGUGUGGGCUUCCCUCCAGUGGACGGCUUGUCCCCACUAGUCCUGGGCAUCAUGGCAGUGGCCCUGGGUGCCCCAGGGCUCAUGCUGCUAGGGGGCGGCUUGGUUCUGCUGCUGCACCACAAGAAGUACUCAGAGUACCAGUCCAUAAAUUAAGGCCCGCUCUCUGGAGGGAAGGACAUUACUGAACCUGUCUUGCUGUGCCUCGAAACUCUGGAGGUUGGAGCAUCAAGUUCCAGCCGGCCCCUUCACUCCCCCAUCUUGCUUUUCUGUGGAACCUCAGAGGCCAGCCUCGACUUCCUGGAGACCCCCAGACCAGUGUGCUUUUCUUGGAGAAAGAAGAAAAGAAGAAAGAAGGAAGAAGAAGAAGAAAGAAAGGAGGAAGAAGGAAGAAGAAGAGCCAGUGUGAUAAUACAUUGAGUGAUUUUUUAAAAAGUGCAUAUAUGAGCAAAAAGUUAUUUUUCCCUUUUCUGAAGUAUGGCAGCAUACUAUAUAGACUGUCUCUGCAUGUUUAUUUUUCCCCCAUUUAAUAUAUCCUGGAGAUCAUUUUAUAUCAAUAUAAAAAUGGUUUUCUCAUUCUUUUAUA
rnacentral:lncRNA from 1 species